AAUCAUAUAUUUGUCUCAUAUUUUUGUACAAUUAGGCCUUAAGCCCCUAUGAAGAUGUAUUAUUGAGCUUAACAAAGAUGUGAACAAGAACCCCAAUUUAUAAGGUAACAAAAUUGUAUAAUACUAUAGAAACUAACAUAUGCAAGGAACUACAUUCCUAAUAUAUGAGAACACAUAAAAAAAAGGAAAAUAUUAUUCCUAAAAACGAAGUGCAGGUUUCUAAUUUCCACACUCCCCCUCAAACUCAAGAUGAGUUAAGAGAGAGAACCUUGAGUUUGGACAUCUGAACGCAAUCUUCUAUACAAAGCAGGUAUAGAAGACCAGUUGCAUAAAUGAACGAGUUGGAUCUUCAAGUCUUCAGGUGCAUGGUGUGACUGACAGAAGCAGUGACCUCAGGAACAAACGGCAUCAGGUCUCAGGAGUAGAUGACCUCAGGAGCAAACGGCCCCAAGAACAAAAGAUGGCCUCAAGAACAUCUGGGAUCGAGAAAUUCGGUCAUCAAACAGGAGGCCGGUGGAAGAGCCAAUAGAAAUCAGCGGUAGAUCAAUAGUUGGACAUUAGAUUUAGAGUUGAGAACAAUAAAAUCCAAAAUAAAUCAGGGAGUCGUAACACAACUUGAUAGAGAGACAGAUCAGAGAGUCAAAACACGACUUGACAAAGAGAGAGUUAAGACAGUUGAACCACGACUCGGUAGAGAGACAGAUCAAAGAGUCGAAACAUGACUUGACAGAGAGACAGAUCAGAUAGUCAAAACACGACUCGGUAGAGCGACAAAUUAAAAAGUUGAAAACACAACUCCGUGGAGAGAAAUAAGAGAAAUCAUGCCAUUUCUGACACUCAAAUUCUAGAUAGAGUGCCAUUAGCUUAAUGGGAACAAGCCGAAAAGAUUCGGAUUUGUCCAUAGGAAAGAAAAUUGAGUCGGUAUUUUGGGGGUCACAAAAGUAUGGUGCUGAUUUUUUUUUUUUUUUUCAAUUUGGUCGAACAAAAGAGACAAUAGGAAUCUCCAAUCUUGCAAGUCCAAAUGACCAAAGUGGACCAUCAAAAAAACCAAUAUGGACCACCUACGCUGUUUUUUCAAAGCAAAAGAACGCCUUCAAGGAAACAUAUGGAAAAGAAAGAACGGGAAGAGAGGGAAAGAAGGGAAGAGAGGGAAAGGCAGGGUUUUCUGAUGGGCUUGCACGCAAAGAAUGACAGAGAUGUUACAGGGAAGAAAACGGGGGCAAAUAGAGACAGAGUUCAACACGGAUAAGAGAGAGAGAGGAAUGGACUGAGACAAAUCAGAGAAAGAGAGAGAUCAGAGAAAGAAUUAGUUCUGAAGUUUGGUGAUAUGGAGAGUUUGAGAGGGAGACCCGCAAGAACAGGGCUCUGUUUUCUGGAAGUUUCUGAAAUUUUAGAGAGAGAGAGAAAACAACCCAGAAUUCCGAGUGUUUGCGGUGGAGAGAGAGAGUGAAAGAAGACGGUGACAACACGAGAACAGGGCUGGAGGGUUUUCCUUGGGUGUCAAGAAAAGAGAAGAGAAGAGAAGUAAAAGAAUCGUCAUGCCAUCUCCUUUGCUGCUCUUCUUUUCUCUCUCGAUCUGUUAUGACCAAAUUGGGUUCUUUGAUUCGCAGGCUGAGAAUGUGAUCGCCUCUAUUACUUGAAAAUGGGUUCCUUUCGUAUCCUUCAAAUUGGCCCCUGCCAAAGACCCUAGAACUACGGCCUCUGGUUUCAUGGGGAUUUGCAGACAGAGAGGGAUUUCUGGGUUUAAAAGAGAUUUGCAGAUAUAGGGAGAGAAGGUUAGGGCUUCAGAGAGAGAGGACAGUACAGAGACAUAGCGAGAGCAAGAAAGAGAAAGAGAGAGAGAUCUGAGAGGCAGAAAUAGAGAGAGAUCUGAAAGGCAGAAAGAGAGAGAAAAUAGGGAUAUCAGAUCUCACAUCUGCUUUGAGAAAUAGCAGAGAUCUUGAGAGAGAAAGAUCAGAGAGACAGAUUAGAGAGAUAGAUGGCAGAAGGAUAUGGAUUAGGGCUUCGAUGAGAGUGAUAGAGGGUUGCAAAGCCCUGCCGUGAAGGGGGUUAGAGAGAGAGGGCGCAUCAAGCUUCUAACAAGAGAGAGCUGAAGGGUCGUUGCAAACACAACUUUUGACGUGACUGUUGUGGUUGCCAACGUUGGGAAAAACUUUUGUGGAUGCAAACGAAAUUGGGGAAUUACAGGUAAGGAGCUGAUAUCAAUGGUACUGGAAUUUUGGAAACAAAUUUAAUUCGUAAGUGACUCUUAUGGGAAACUAUAUUUCUGUAUAAUAGUGCAUUAAGCCCUUAUGAAAAUUAAUUAUUGAGCUUAACAAAGAUGUGAACAAUUUAUAAGGUUACAAAAUUGUAUAGUACUAUAAAAACUAACAUAGGAAAUGAACGACUUUCUUAAAAUGUGAGAACACAUAAAAAGAAGAAAAAUAUUGCUCCUAAAACCUAAAACCUAAAUGCAAGUUUUUAACUUCCACAGCAACUUCAUCACAGGGUCAAUGUUACUAUUUUUCCCGGGGUUAAUUGAUCAACAAAUUAGAUCACCUGAAAUUUCUGACACAGCUUGUCAGGCUAUGACCGUCUUUACAAAACUCUAAUCAGCAUCAAAAUAUUUUGUGGGAUCACCUUGAUAGUAUUUCUUGCUCGUCAGCAACGAGUCUACUCACAACAACCGCAUAAUAUUUGAAUCAUAUUAUACUUAUUUAGUCUAUUCACAACCACCUCAUAAUAUUUGAAUCAUAUUAUACUGAUUUUGGGUGGUUAUCAGAUUGCAAAUAGUUGCAUGGUGUUUCUAGACACUGUGCCACUCCCAUUGAUCCGGUCAUUUAUCAAAGGUUUCAACCUCUAUUAAGACUGGGCUGGGUGACUAAGCACUCAGCGUUCAACCACAAGUUUAUGCACCUAUCUUGGUUCCAGCUGCAUAUCUUGGACUGUUAAGAAAUAAUCAACGUGGCUCGUUCAAGUGUUGAAAUGGAAUACCAGUCUACAACAUCCACUACUGCAGAAUUGACAUGGCUUUUUUUUAUUCUUCGGGAUAUUGAGGUGCCUCUUCUUCAGCCACUAACACUUUUUGGUGACAAUAUAAAUGCUCUUUACAUGACAGUUAAUCAUGUUUUUCAUGUACUAAUAAAGCACAUUGAGUUAGACUAUCAUUUUGUGUGUGGAAAAGUUGCUCUUGGAUUACUUAUCACACGAUUUGUUUCCUCUCACAAUUAAGUAGCUGAUAUCUUUACCAAGUCUUUGCCACAAGAUGUUUUUCAAGAUCUUUACUUCAAAUGCAUCCUCAAUCGAAUUUGAGGAGGUGUAAUGGAAACAACAUUUAAACAAGAUAGGAAAGUAUAUUUCUCUUUCCUUUUGA